rnacentral:rRNA from 1 species
AGCGAACGCUGGCGGCGUGCUUAACACAUGCAAGUCGAACGGCCUUCGGGUAGCAAUACUUGAGGGUAGUGGCGAACGGGUGAGUAACACGUGGGUAAUCUCCCCUCGAGUGAGGAAUAAGCUUGCGAAAGCGGGUCUAAUACCGCAUAAAGCUUCGGGACAUCAGUCUUCGAAGCCAAAGCCGUAAGGCGCUUGGGGAUGAGCCUGCGUCCUAUUAGCUAGUUGGUAGGGUAAUGGCCUACCAAGGCGAUGAUGGGUAGCCGGCCUGAGAGGGUGAACGGCCACACUGGAACUGAGACACGGUCCAGACUCCUACGGGAGGCAG